rnacentral:rRNA from 1 species
GACGAACGCUGGCGGCGUGCUUAACACAUGCAAGUCGAACGGAAAGGCCUCUUUCGGGGGGUACUCGAGUGGCGAACGGGUGAGUAACACGUGAGUAACCUGCCCUUGACUUUGGGAUAACUUCAGGAAACUGGGGCUAAUACCGGAUAGGAGCUCCUGCUGCAUGGUGGGGGUUGGAAAGUUUCGGCGGUUGGGGAUGGACUCGCGGCUUAUCAGCUUGUUGGUGGGGUAGUGGCUUACCAAGGCUUUGACGGGUAGCCGGCCUGAGAGGGUGACCGGCCACAUUGGGACUGAGAUACGGCCCAGACUCCUACGGGAGGCAGCAGUGGGGAAUAUUGCACAAUGGGUGGAAGCCUGAUGCAGCAACGCCGUGCGCGGGAUGACGGCCUUCGGGUUGGAAACCGCUUUCGCUCAUGACGAAGCUUUGUGUGACGGUAGUGGGUAAAGAAGCACCGGCUAACUACGUG